CACGUGGCGGUGGGGCUCAGGCGGCUUUUGGCAAAAAGAUUUAUCGUAACAGCAGAGAAGCAAAGCAGUGCUGAGGAUAUAGCUCAGUGGUAAAAACACUUUCGCAGUGUUUUCAUGAGAUAGGCCUCAGAUUCAAUUCCCAGUACUACCACAAACAAAUAAUAAUAAUAGCAAAAGUAGGAGGACUAAUAGCAGUAUAACAACCAAUACCUUUUUUCAAAUGACAGAUGUACAAAAGGAGCCCUUUGACCACUCAGAUGAAAAAAGGACAAAGCCACAGCUGGCACCUCACUGUGAGACUGAAGUAGAAGAUGGCAGAAAACAUGUAUUGAGAACAGUGCCACAACAUAAGAAUGGGAAGAAAAGACAGAAGAAGAAUAAGGGACACUAACUCCUUCAAGAAUACUGACUCUUAUAUGGAUGAUAAUGCAAAUAAUUGAAAUGAAGGCAGCAGAUAAAAUUCAAAUAUGACCAUGAAGAGGAAGAGAAGGUGGAAAAAGCAUCAUCUGACAAUGAAGAUGAUGGAGACAGCAGUCACAAAGUUAACCAAGUGGAGAGACACUUUCCAAGUCUCAUGAUAGCUAAUCUUGGUUAUCAUCUUGACACACUUGGGAAGAACCUCAACUGAGAAAUUGCCUCUAUCAUACUGGUCCAAGGCCACACCAAUGUGGUCUGUACCAUUCCGAAAGCCUUCAUCCAGUAGCUGAUGGAAGCAGAAGCAGACACCCACAGCUAAGCACUGAGCAGAACUCCUGGAAUCCAGUUGUACAGAGGGAGGAGUGAUGAGCAAAGGGGUCAAGACCAGACUGGGGAAACCCACAGACACACUCAAGGUUGUUAUCCCAAAAGGCAAUAUAGCUUUCAGCAAAAAGGCAACAGAUAAGGUACUCUUUGGUGGGGGCUGGGGCUGGGGCUGUUAACUGACUAAACCAACUCCCAUACUUCCCAGUCUUAUGCACUGAAAAUAUACUCAUUAGUACAUAGCCCAGUUAAACAAGUUUCAAACAACCUUCUGUCCUUUCAAUGAUGUGAUGUUAUCAUGUUAUUUUAUUAUGUUCCUGUUUUGUUUAUGGACUGUAGCUAAAUGUUACUUGUAUGUAAACUGCAUUAAUGUUCCAAAGAAUCUGAGGCUAUCAUUAAGAUUAUGCCUGAUUUUAAGGUGUGUGUACGUGUAAAUGAUGUAUAUUUAAUUAUCUUAAGGUGAUUCAAGAUUUUAUGACUUUAUAUACAGUUCUCGUACCAGAGUAUUUAAAAUGGUCAUCAUGCUCUGAACAUUUGGGAUACAAUGCACAUGAUUUUGAUGUUUCAAAUAAUAUUUGUUAAGCUUUAAUUUUAAAAUAUAAUUGGUUUUUAAAUUUAUAUACAAAAUAGCCUAGUAAAAAUUAAAAUAUUAACUAUAGCUUAUAGUUAUUUUAAAAUGCUUUUACAUAAAAUAUUUUUACAUAAAAAUUUAGAAAGGAUUGCUAUAAAAUAGUUUUAAAUCAAUUAAUUAUAACAUUUAAGGUCAAAAUAAUGUUAGAUCUAUGCAAAACUGAUGCCUGAUACUUUAUUUACAACAACAAGGUUUGCUUAAAUAUUGGUGUACUCUUAGUAACGUUUACUGAAUCUUUGCAGUGUUUACAAAAAAUGUUUCAAAUAAACAAGAAUUUUGUAGUAUUCCUUUGUUAAUGAGAUAUCUAGAAAGUUAUGAUAAGAUUAUUUCAAAUGUUCUUUCUAUUUUUUUCUAAUGGGUAAAUUAGAUAGGUAUUACAGAUCUUAUUUUAUUAAACAAAAAACUCAAUUGUAUUUAAAUUUUGCCUCGUUUUAAAAAUGCUCAUGGUCCCAUGUUCACUCCUCUAGGUUCAUAAUUAAAUAAACAAUUGCCACUAAUAA